CAGUCGCCGCGGGAAUACGUAGGUCCCGAGCGUUGUCCGGAUUUAUUGGGCGUAAAGCGAGCGCAGGCGGUUAGAUUAGUCUGAAGUUAAAGGCUGUGGCUUAACCAUAGUACGCUUUGGAAACUGUUUAACUUGAGUGCAAGAGGGGAGAGUGGAAUUCCAUGUGUAGCGGUGAAAUGCGUAGAUAUAUGGAGGAACACCGGUGGCGAAAGCGGCUCUCUGGCUUGUAACUGACGCUGAGGCUCGAAAGCGUGGGGAGCAAACAGGAUUAGAUACCCGCGUAGUCCCUGUCUCUUAUACA
rnacentral:rRNA from 1 species